rnacentral:RNase_P_RNA from 1 species
AGUUGACCAGACGAUCGCGGCCCUUGUGGCGGAGGAAAGUCCGGGCUCCAUAGGGUAGAGAGCCAGAUAACAUCUGGGCGGCGCGAGUCGACGGAAAGUGCCGCAGAAAAAAUACCGCCUAAGUCUGUAAAGACCGGUAAGGGUGAAAAGGUGUGGUAAGAGCGCACCGCGCAACUGGCAACAGGUGUGGCAGGGUAAACCCCUCUCGGAGCAAGACCAAAUAGGGAAACACGCAUAAGCGCUCUGCGACCCGCAGAGGUUUCCGGGUAGGUCGCUUGAGCUGCCUGGUGACAGGUAUGCCAGAUGAAUGGUCGUCCACGACAGAACCCGGCUUAUCGGUUAACUCGA